rnacentral:rRNA from 1 species
CUACGUGCCAGCAGCCGCGGUAAUACGUAGGGUGCGAGCGUUGUCCGGAAUUAUUGGGCGUAAAGAGCUUGUAGGCGGUUUGUCGCGUCUGCUGUGAAAGGCCGGAGCUUAACUCCGUGUAUUGCAGUGGGUACGGGCAGACUAGAGUGCAGUAGGGGAGACUGGAAUUCCUGGUGUAGCGGUGGAAUGCGCAGAUAUCAGGAGGAACACCGAUGGCGAAGGCAGGUCUCUGGGCUGUAACUGACGCUGAGAAGCGAAAGCAUGGGGAGCGAACAGGAUUAGAUACCCUGGUAGUCCAUGCCGUAAACGUUGGGCACUAGGUGUGGGGGACAUUCCACGUUUUCCGCGCCGUAGCUAACGCAUUAAGUGCCCCGCCUGGGGAGUACGGCCGCAAGGCUAAAACUCAAAGAAAUUGACGGGGGCCCGCACAAGCGGCGGAGCAUGCGGAUUAAUUCGAUGCAACGCGAAGAACCUUACCAAGGCUUGACAU